AAAUGAAUUGACGGGGACCCGCACAAGCGGUGGAGCAUGUGGUUUAAUUCGAUGAUAAGCGAAGAACCUCACCAAGGUUUGACAUGUAGCUGCAAGGUCUGGAAACAGAUCCGCCUUCGAGGGUGCUACACAGAUGCUGCAUGGUUGUCGUCAGCUCGUGUCGUGAGAUGUACCGUUAAGUCGGGAAACGAGCGCAACCCUUUUCUUAUGUUUUAUAUGUCAUAAGAUACUGCCCGUUUUAAAUGGGAGGAAGGUGGGAUGACGUCAAAUCAGCAUGGUUCUUACACCUUGGGCAACACACGUGCUACAAUGGAAAGUACAAAGGGACGCCAAAGCGCGAGCUGGAGCAAACCCCUUAAAACUUUUCUCAGUUCGGAUUGGAGUCUGCAACUCGACUCCAUGAAGCUGGAAUCGCUAGUAAUCGUGAAUCAGCUAUGUCACGGUGAAUACGUUCUCGGGUCUUGUACACACCGCCCGU
rnacentral:rRNA from 1 species